rnacentral:miRNA from 1 species
AGCCGUCAACAAGUUGUGUUCGCACUGCUUGUUCCAAACUUGUCAACAAGUUUGGAACAAGCAGUGCGAACACAACUUGUCGACAGCUU